rnacentral:lncRNA from 1 species
UUUAAAUAAACACUUUUCAGCACAGUUCCAUGGGACUUAUCCAAGAAAUGUGCAUACUCUUCAAUCGAAUAAUCACAUAUCUAAAUACCUGUCAUGUACAGAUAUACAUAUGUAGAAGAAUGUGUGAGGGUUUUCACUGCAGCAUGGUUGUAAUUGUGAAACAAGGAAAUGAUUUAUUCUUCUAUUAAGAUGAGAAUAGUUAUGAAAGCUAAGAAUAUUGACAAUAUGAAAUAAUAUGUAGAAAAUUUUUACUGUAUUAACAUAAACUCUCUAAGUCUUUCACAACAGCAAAAAUGCAACCACUAAAAUCAUGUUUUGAUGAAUGCUUAAUGAUAUAAAAUACAAAAGUAAAUACAUAGGUAUGCAUAUAUAUGCAAAAGCAAGCAUGUUUACAAGAUUACAUAAUACAGUAUACUCUCAGCUAUGUAAAAAAUACAUAGAAAAAAAUGUAAUAUACAUCGACAAUAUUGCUUAUGUUGCUUCUGAGUGAGAAGCUACUGAUUGAUUUUUCUGUUUAUUUUUCCUGCUCCUAGAGAUACAAGCCUCCUGGGUGAUGAGAAAGACAGAGAAGCAUUUUUCAUAGAGAGUUGCCAGGAUUGCUCAGCAUCCAGAUCAACCAUGAAAGGCACCAGGAGAAUGAACAUCUGCAUUUUUCUUGUCCAUGAUUCUUCUACAUAAUGCUACUGAAGCGAAGAUAAUCUUUCAGUCUCCAUUCAGCUGGCCAGCACCUGCUCGGGUUUCCUAGCAUUCAUGUCCAGCUCCUCCUUCUUUUUGCCCCUCCUUCCCAGCAGAGCACAGGUGUUGGAAAGCUGGGCACUGUGGAAAAGCAAGGGGCAUAAGUUUGUGAGCCACAGUGGGUAGGGUGUCUGUGGGGCCUUUCUGUGCAUUUUUCUCUAUUAGUGGUUAAAAAAACAACCUAUCAGCUUGAGGAAAAGCCAAUUAACAAGUCUAGAGCCAAGAAUUGUACUGCAUCCACACUGUAUUUGAAAUGGUACACCCCAAUCACUUCCUCUGAAAUCAAUCAAGUUGUUAUUGUUUGUUCAUGGUUUCAUCUGCCAUUCUGAAUAGCAUGUCCCUCAUAAGCUGGAACUUCUCUUUGCCCAUCUGUGUAUCUUCAAGAUCUGAUUCACAGUGUGCAAUGCUGUUGAAUUGAAUUAUUAAACUGGACUGAGUCUCAAAUUAUUCAUGCAUCUUCUGAUUUAUUAGUUCAUCAUUUAUUGAGAACUAUGAGCUAGUUUCUGGAGGAAAAAUUAUGAAUAGGAUUUCUUUUCUGUCACAGAGAGGCUCAUAAUUAGUGUGGGAGAUGGAUAUAUAAACUAAUAAUUACAAUAACAAUAAGAAAACACUCUAACAUAUUUAUGCAUGAAAUGUUAUGAAAGCAUAUAAGAUGCAAUGAUUCAUUAACUCUUCUUGGGGAGUCAAGGAGUGAAAAUACAGCUAGAUUUUCAAGGAUGACUAUAUAAUCAAGAGGCAGAGAAUUCAAGCCAAAGGAAAAGGAAUAAUAAGUACAACGGCAUGGAAGCACAAACAAUAAUACUAAAACAUGGAUAAUUAACAUUUAUAUUACACUAUGCAUCAGGCUACAUUCUGGGCCACACACACAGUCAUUUAAUACGCAUAAAACCCUAUGAGAUAAGUACUUUUAUUAUUCCCAAUUUACAUAAAUGAAGACUGAGGCACAUAGGCGAAUGAUAAAGGAAAGAUGCAAAUCCAGGUAGUCAUGCUCCAUCACUGCUAUGCAAUGCAACAAAUUGUCAUGGAAUCACACAAAAUGAAAUACUAUUCAACACUAAAAUGACUAAAUAUCUGUUACAUACAACAACACGGAUGAAUCCCUAAAACAGUAGAAGUGAAAGAAAUAAGGUAUGCAAGUUUAAAUUACAAGCUAUUUCCAGGAAGUAUCAACAGUUUCAUACCAAAAUGUAUCCCCAGACCAACACUGUAUGGCCCUGGAGAUGCAC